AGUCGACCAAACCGUCCAAUUGUCCAUAACCCUAAAUAAGAAAUAAAAUCCUCUCACUCAAUUCUCUCUCUGUUUAACUCUUCAUCUCCCUCAAACUAUUCAUUUUCCUCAGAAAAAUUGUGGUUUUGGUUAUUUCUCUCGUUUAGAUCUGGUAUUUUGGUUAUUUCUGUCUCUGAGCAUCACCGCCGUCUUCAAGCAUCACCGCCGCUUCUUUAUCAUGAUCCCAAAUUGUUAGCAGCUCUGGCAGAAAGUCAAAGAAGGCAAGCCCCCUAUGCUGGUGCCUUCCUUGUUAAAGAUGAGGCUGAUUCUGACACAGAGAAGAAUAUUAAUGAUCUUAAAGGAAAAGAACUUUUAAAUUGACUGCAUGAAGUUGGGACGUUGGCCCAGGUCUAUUUACAGGCUGCUUUAUUGCACUUCUGGCUUGUUAUGUCAUCAUGGCUCAUCUAAUGGGAUUGUACACUAAACAAUCACCUGCCACUGUUUACCUGGAAACUGUAUAUCCUGUC